UCAGGCAGGACAAGGGGAGGAGCAGGAGCCUGUCAGGAGCAGAGGAUGGACCAGUAACGGAGAGUUCACCAUUUGCCUAGACAGCAGGAAAGGAGCUGGGGUCAGUGUAGGCUCUUCCCCAGGGACAGGAGCUGGGGACCAAGGCCCCAAACCAUUCACUCCUAAGCACACGGCCCUCCGCCUUACCCUGGGAUGGCCCGAGGGAGACCGAAUUUCUCAGACUUUCAAGGAGCUCACAGCGGCAGGAAAGGCAUGCAGUGAGUUGUCCAGUGCUUCCAAGACCAGUGGGAUCCCCGCGGCUGCUGCAGGAAUCUGAGAUCCUGUCUGGGCCUCAGAACCUGACGGUCACAGUGCACCAAAUGGCAGUGCUGUAGUGCAUCGCCACUGGCCGCCCGCAGCCACCUGUCUCCUGGAGCCGUCUGGGUGUGCACCACCCGCCAGCGUCCCGGCCCCCUGGCCCUUGCCUCUUCCCAGCCCUGACCCGUCGCCUCCCUGCAGACGGCUGCUCCAUCAGCGUGGAGGGCUUCCAGGUCCUGGGCACCAGGAACCUCAUGAUCUCUGACAUGUCGGUCCAGCACUCGGGCGUCUAUGUCUGAGCUGCCAACUGGCUAGGCACGCGUGUCCGGUGCACAGCGCAGGGCGUGCUGCUUAUGCAGGGUGAGCCCCAAGGGCUGGGGCAGGGUAGGGUCCUGGGGCACCCCAUCUCCCCUGUAGAAACCUGGAUGGAGAGAGGGCAGGGGCAGGAGCAGACAGGAGGCGCCAAUGGUGCCUUCUACCUGCUGUUGGCUGGCCAGCCCCACCCCCAUUUGUCCAGCAGCCACAGUCUGUGUCCAUGACUCCUGGCGGCAGCACCAUCUCCACCUGUGCAGCCCAGGGAGUCCCUGAGCCCCGUCUGGUGUGGCUGAAGAAUGGGAAGAUGCUGAGUCCUGGGGAUGACAUUUGGCUGCCCCACAACAAAAGCACACUGAUGCUGGCAGGGGUCUCUGUCGAGGACAAGGCCAUCUACCAAUGUGUGGCAGAGAACAGCGUGGGCUCCAACCAGGCCAGCGCCCGCCUGGCUGUGACAGGGGACCCAGAGCCACCCCCUGCCCCCAGGGGCCGGCAGGCAGUAGGUCUCUCCACUUCUGCCAUUUGAGUGUCCUGGGAACCAUGGCCCUCCAACAGGGACAUCAUUGGCUACGUGUGUGGGAGGUAGGUGUGGCAGGGUGGACAGGCAUCCCUGGCUCCAGCCCCCCUCUGCUCCUGCCCGGCCCGGGGGAGCUUCCUCUCGUUCUCCAUGACCCCAGGCCUGUCUGGACUCUUGCUGGGCUUCUGGGUCUGUGGUUCUCUGGUGCCCCCUUAUGCUCCUCAGCCCCUUUCGCACCCUCGGCCUUUCCCAUCCCAGCUCCAACUUCUGCAGCCCCUUCCUUGCUUCCUUGGAGGCUUGGCUGGCCCAGUCUGGCACCAGGAAGAGUUUUGUGAGGGUGGGGUGUUCGAGGUGAGGGAGAGGGAGGCUGAGUCGCCGAGCUGCUCUGCUCCUCAGUGCCAGCCGGCCUAGAGUUCCAGGAGGCUGUGGGCAAAGGCACCUCUGGGCAUGUCUUCUCCAACCUGAAGCCUGCCACAGCUGCCUCCAUCCACAUGUGCGCCCACUCAGCAGAGGGUGCCAGCCAGGACUCUGCCUCCAUCCAUGCCUCCACCACAGGUGGUAGUGAGUGCCCACCUCCCCAGUCCUAGAGCCCCAGGCCUCAGGCAGGCAGGGCAGGGGCUGCUGACCAGCUCAUCCCAUUUCCUCUGCAGCCCCUACUGCCCUGGGCUUCUCCACCAAAGUGCUUAAUGCUGCCUCCGUGCAGGCCUCCUGGGAGCUGCCACCCCAGCUGGGGUCCAUCCAGGAUUUCAAACUUUUCCACUGCAAGCUGCCAGCUACCCAUUUUGAGGGGCCCCUGCUCCUGGCUAACAGUGUCAGCUCUUUCCUCUACACAAUUCUGGAUGAGGCCCUGGACCUUUUUGUGUUAUCCCUGGGCCCCCCAUCUCAGUGUGGUCUUGCCCUGGGCACUGAGCUUCCUGGCCCACAAAGGCCUGUUCCCUUCACAAUCUCCUCCACACAGAGCCAGCUGCCUUCUAUGAGAUCAAGCUCCAGGCAUUUAAUGGCCACAGGGAUGGUAACAGCAGUGCCCACCUCGUCUCUUUGUGUGAUGUGCCGCUGGCCACCCCUGAGUGCAAGCUUGGGUGCUCUUGCAGCCAGGAUGCGAGCAGCUCGUUGCCUGGGGCUGUGGUGGCCAUCCAUGUGGGCCUGGCUGCCCUCAUCAUUUGCCUCCUGUGCCACCUCCUGGGCUGGAGACAUAGGUGACCAUGGAGCAGCUGCCCUAGCCUAGAGCCCCCCAGGCUGGCUCCCUCCCAGACCCCAUGUACUCUGGGCCCACCAAAGGAUCUACCUCACCCAUCGCUGUCGCCCUGGAGUCAGGAAAGAACCAAAGGUCCCUCAGCCCCUCUCGGGGAGAGGCAAGCCUGACCGCAGGGAGACAGAAGCGGGUGAGGAUUCUCUGCUCCUCCCUCCUCAAGAAUGGGGGAGUCUGUGUCUUCCUCAACACAUCAGAUAUCCUCAAACUAAACCAAGCUUGGCUGGGAGUUAGCCUCAACCUUGUUACUCCAGCCUUAUAGCCCAUCCAAUAUAUUCUUUUGACCCAAAUAUGAACCUACCCAAAGAUAUAUAGCUUUAAGGGUGCCCCCCAAAGGGAAGGGGCAAGGCAGGGCUCUCACCAUCUCCAGCUCCACCAGGAUCCCUAGCCUGAGAGCUCAGUUGGUCUCCUCAAGCCCAAGCUGAGGCCUGGCCAGAGCACAGGCCCCGGGCAUUCCCCGUGGUCCGCAUGAGGAAAUGGGUGUAGAGUUCCUUUCCCCUUGUCCCAACACCGUGAGUCCUGCCAUCGGAGCUCACACGGGCUGCUUCUCUGGGCAAUCAAAUACCCAUCUCCCCCUCUCCAGAUUCUAAGCACUGGCCUCUUCUCAGGGGCCAUCCCCUGAGAAGGGGCCAAAACCCCAUUUGAGUUUUAUUUUUGAAGAUGGUAUUAGUCUAAGCUGGGGUUUGGUGGCCUUGAAGCCCCUGUAGAAUGCACACAGAGGCUGUGGAGCACCCUAGCCAUCUAGUCCUUCAAUUCUAGGUGCCCAAAGAUUGCCUCCUUCCCACUCCUGCCCUCUGCCAGCCUACGGCAGCCAAUGCCCACAUUCCUCCUCAUCCAGCCCUACUUCACCCUAAAGCCAAA